ensembl:snoRNA SNORD42 Small nucleolar RNA SNORD42
GAGCAUAAGAUGAAAAAUUCUUAAUCUCCUGAGACUUGUGAUCUCUUUUAAGGAACCCACUGAUGAAC